AUGUGCCAGGGCUGCAGCAGGACCAGGCAGGGCAGGGGGAGGCACAGCAGGGUCACCCCAACACUGGGGGCUGUCCCCAUGUGCCAGGGCUGCAGCAGGACCAGGCAGGGCAGGGGGAGGCACAGCAGGGUCACCCCAACACUGGGGGCUGUCCCCAUGUGCCAGGGCUGCAGCAGGACCAGGCAGGGCAGGGGGAGGCACAGCAGGGUCACCCCAACACUGGGGGCUGUCCCCAUGUGCCAGGGCUGCAGCAGGACCAGGCAGGGCAGGGGGAGGCACAGCAGGGUCACCCCAACACUGGGGGCUGUCCCCAUGUGCCAGGGCUGCAGCAGGACCAGGCAGGGCAGGGGGAGGCACAGCAGGGUCACCCCAACACUGGGGGCUGUCCCCAUGUGCCAGGGCUGCAGCAGGACCAGGCAGGGCAGGGGGAGGCACAGCAGGGUCACCCCAACACUGGGGGCUGUCCCCAUGUGCCAGGGCUGCAGCAGGACCAGGCAGGGCAGGGGGAGGCACAGCAGGGUCACCCCAACACUGGGGGCUGUCCCCAUGUGCCAGGGCUGCAGCAGGACCAGGCAGGGCAGGGGGAGGCACAGCAGGGUCACCCCAACACUGGGGGCUGUCCCCAUGUGCCAGGGCUGCAGCAGGACCAGGCAGGGCAGGGGGAGGCACAGCAGGGUCACCCCAACACUGGGGGCUGUCCCCAUGUGCCAGGGCUGCAGCAGGACCAGGCAGGGCAGGGGGAGGCACAGCAGGGUCACCCCAACACUGGGGGCUGUCCCCAUGUGCCAGGGCUGCAGCAGGACCAGGCAGGGCAGGGGGAGGCACAGCAGGGUCACCCCAACACUGGGGGCUGUCCCCAUGUGCCAGGGCUGCAGCAGGACCAGGCAGGGCAGGGGGAGGCACAGCAGGGUCACCCCAACACUGGGGGCUGUCCCCAUGUGCCAGGGCUGCAGCAGGACCAGGCAGGGCAGGGGGAGGCACAGCAGGGUCACCCCAACACUGGGGGCUGUCCCCAUGUGCCAGGGCUGCAGCAGGACCAGGCAGGGCAGGGGGAGGCACAGCAGGGUCACCCCAACACUGGGGGCUGUCCCCAUGUGCCAGGGCUGCAGCAGGACCAGGCAGGGCAGGGGGAGGCACAGCAGGGUCACCCCAACACUGGGGGCUGUCCCCAUGUGCCAGGGCUGCAGCAGGACCAGGCAGGGCAGGGGGAGGCACAGCAGGGUCACCCCAACACUGGGGGCUGUCCCCAUGUGCCAGGGCUGCAGCUUCCCCACCCCUGGGAGAUGCCCUCCCCUGCCCUGGAGCCGAGAGGGGACAUCAGAGGGUGACACGGUGGGAGCAGGUCCCUCAGAGUGCUUUGGAGUGGGAGGGAGCUUUAAAGGUCACCUCAUCCUACUCCUGCCACAUUUCACCUUCCACUACCCCAGGCUGCUCCCAGCCCUGUCCAGCCUUGGACACUUCCAGCAGCCACAGCUUCUCUGUCUCUCCACUCUCACUGUAAAAAAAAAUUCUUCCUUAUAUCUAAAUCAAGUGGUACCAAAACACUUUAUUGUUCUCCUUUGCUCCAGCACAGUGCCUGGCCUUUCACCUUCCAGUUUCCUCUCUGCAGAGCCUUUUCUUAUUAAAAUCUAA
ensembl:lncRNA